AUACUUACCUGGCAGGGGAGAUACCAUGAUCAGGCACGUGAUUUUCCCAGGGCGAGGCUCUUCCAUUGCACUGCAGGAGUGCUGAUCCCUGCAAUUUCCCCAAAUGUGGGAAACUUGACUGCAUAAUUUGUGGUAGUAGGGGAACUGUGUUCGCGCUCUCCCCUG
ensembl:snRNA U1 U1 spliceosomal RNA